rnacentral:lncRNA from 1 species
CUUCCAGACCUUCCUAUCUAGGGUCAUGUCCUCGGUAAGCUGUAACUGUUCCAUGUCCCGCCUAAUCACCUCACCCCAGUACUUCUUCGGUCUACCCCUACCCCGUCUAAAACCAUCCAACGCUAGCCUCUCACACCUACGGACCGGGGCAUCCAUGCCCCUCCUCUUCACGUGUCCGAACCAUCGCAAUCGUGCUUCCCGCAUCUUACACUCCACUGAAGUCACCCCAACCUUCUCCCGGAUAGUCUCAUUCCGAGCUCUAUCCCUUCGGGUCAGUCCACACAUCCAGCGCAAC